GACGAACGCUGGCGGCGUGCUUAACACAUGCAAGUCGAACGAAAAGACGGAAAGAGCUUGCUCUUUUCAGAAUUGAGUGGCAAACGGGUGAGUAACACGUAAACAACCUGCCUUCAGGAUGGGGACAACAGACGGAAACGACUGCUAAUACCGAAUAAGUUCCAAGGGCCGCAUGGCCCAUGGAAGAAAAGGUGGCCUCUACCUGUAAGCUAUCGCCUGAAGAGGGGUUUGCGUCUGAUUAGCUGGUUGGAGGGGUAACGGCCCACCAAGGCGACGAUCAGUAGCCGGUCUGAGAGGAUGAACGGCCACACUGGAACUGAGACACGGUCCAGACUCCUACGGGAGGCAGCAGUGGGGAAUCUUCCGCAAUGGGCGAAAGCCUGACGGAGCAACGCCGCGUGAGUGAUGACGGCCUUCGGGUUGUAAAACUCUGUGAUCCGGGACGAAAAGGCAGAGUGCGAAGAACAAACUGCAUUGACGGUACCGGAAAAGCAAGCCACGGC
rnacentral:rRNA from 1 species